rnacentral:lncRNA from 1 species
CCCACACCCUGCUGUCUGCAAGCUAGAAAGGAAAAGCCUGGUAUGAGUCAGUCAGUCUGCAAGGUCAAGUGCUGGGAGCAGAAUUAUAAUGUCCUAGGUCCAGAGCUGACAGGUCUCUCUUAGUUCACACAGAAGCCUGCUGUCCUUUCUCUCUGUCCAGGGCCUCCUAGAUUGGAUGGUGUCAACCACAUGGAUAAGGAGAUCUCUCUGGUUCAAUGCCAGCUUCUCAGCAUCACCAUAUUCUGACAGCCAAUAGGGCAUCGCCAAGCCCAGCAGAUGGGCAUGGUGACAACUGAGGCAGAGACUCGGGCACUGUGAACUGCAGAAGAGAGAGCCCUUUUGUUGUGUGAAGCCCAGGAUAUGAACAGAAAAUCGAAGAGCCCGGCCCAACCCAAGUGAUUGUGACCGGAAGAAGAAAGGUGGUGGUGGAUUUUGCUUCGUGCUUAAGGUUCCCAAAUACUAAAUACUCUGGAUACUACAGAGUAUCCAGGCCCCUCAAUCAGCC